rnacentral:misc_RNA from 1 species
AACGCACAUUGCGCUCUCUGGUAUUCCGGAGAGCAUGCUUGUUUGAGUAUCAGUAAAACACCCUCAGUUCUCUUUAUGAGAAUUGGACUUGAGUGAUCCCAACGGCGGUUUCCGAACCACUGGCGGGUCACUUGAAAUGCAGGUGCGGCUGGACACAUCUUCUGAGCUAUAAGCAUUACUUAUUUAGUCCCGUCAGAUGGAUUAUUUCUACUGCUACAGCUAAUAUAAAGGUCGAUUGUCCGUUUGCCCGACUGAUGCAGAAAAAACAAAGAGAGAUCUUUGUUCACUCGAUCUCAAAUCAAGUAAGACUACCCGCUGAACUUAA